rnacentral:rRNA from 1 species
UACGUAGGGGGCAAGCGUUUGUCCGGAAUCAUUGGGCGUAAAGCGCGUGUAGGCGGCCAGAUAAGUCCGCUGUGAAAUCCUCGAGGCUCAACUUCGAGCUGUCGGUGGAAACUGUCUGGCUAGAGUCCGGAAGAGGAGAGUGGAAUUCCUGGUGUAGCGGUGAAAUGCGCAGAUAUCAAGUGGAACACCAGUGGCGAAGGCGAGUCUCUGGACAUUUCCUGACGCUGAGGCACGAAAGCCAGGGGAGCAAACGGG